ACGCCUAAUACAUGCAAGUCGAACGAGGUAGCAAUACCUAGUGGCAGACGGGUGAGUAACAUGUGGGUACCUUCCCUUUGGUGAGGAAUAACACGAGGAAACUUGUGCUAAUACCUCAUAAGUCUUUACGGAGAAAGCUUUAUGCGCCAAUGGAUGGGCCCGCACUUGAUUAGUUAGUUGGUAAGGUAAUGGCUUACCAAGACUUUGAUCAAUAGCUGAUUUGAGAGGAUGAUCAGCCACAUUGGGACUGAGACACGGCCCAAACUCCUACGGGAGGCAGCAGUAGGGAAUCUUGCACAAUGGAGGAAACUCUGAUGCAGCGAUGCCGCGUGAGUGAAGAAGGCCCUUGGGUUGUAAAGCUCUUUCGUCGGGGAAGAAAAUGACUGUACCCGAAUAAGAAGGUCCGGCUAACUUCGUGCCAGCAGCCGCGGUAAUACGAAGGGACCUAGCGUAGUUCGGAAUUACUGGGCUUAAAGAGUUCGUAGGUGGUUAAAAAAGUUGGUGGUGAAAUCCCAGAGCUUAACUCUGGAACUGCCAUCAAAACUUUUUAGCUAGAGUAUGAUAGAGGAAAGCAGAAUUUCUAGUGUAGAGGUGAAAUUCGUAGAUAUUAGAAAGAAUACCAAUUGCGAAGGCAGCUUUCUGGAUCAUUACUGACACUGAGGAACGAAAGCAUGGGUAGCGAAGAGGAUUAGAUACCCUCGUAGUCCAUGCCGUAAACGAUGUGUGUUAGAUGUUGGAAAUUUAUUUUCAGUAUCGCAGCGAAAGCGUUAAACACACCGCCUGGGGAGUACGACC
rnacentral:rRNA from 1 species